GUGGGGAAUAUUGGACAAUGGGCGAAAGCCUGAUCCAGCCAUGACGCGUGUGUGAAGAAGGUCUUCGGAUUGUAAAGCACUUUAAGUUGGGAGGAAGGGCAGUAAGUUAAUACCUUGCUGUUUUGACGUUACCGACAGAAUAAGCACCGGCUAACUUCGUGCCAGCAGCCGCGGUAAUACGAAGGGUGCAAGCGUUAAUCGGAAUUACUGGGCGUAAAGCGCGCGUAGGUGGUUUUGUAAGUUGGAGGUGAAAUCCCCGGGCUCAACCUGGGAACUGCCUCCAAAACUGCAUGACUAGAGUACGGUAGAGUGUAGUGGAAUUUCCUGUGUAGCGGUGAAAUGCGUAAAUAUAGGAAGGAACACCAGUGGCGAAGGCGACUACCUGGACUGAUACUGACACUGAGGUGCGAAAGCGUGGGGAGCAAACAGGAUUAGAUACCCGAGUAGUCC
rnacentral:rRNA from 1 species